AAGCAAAAAAGGGAGGUUAUCUAAAAGAAAGCCAAACUUGCACCAAAAAAAGGUCAUGGUCACUCUUUGAUGGUCUGCUGCCAGUCUGAUCCACCACAGCUUUCUGAAUCCCGGCAAAACCAUUACACCUGAGAAGUAUCCUCAGCAAAUUGAUGAGAUGCACCAAAUAUUGCAAUGUCUGCACCUGGCAUUGGUCAACAGAAAGGGCUCAAUUCUUGUCCAUAACAACACCUCACUGCAGGUUGCACAACCAAUGCUUCAAAAGUUGAAUAAAUUGGGUACAAACUUUUGCUUCAUCUACCAUAUUCACCUGACCUCUCACCAACCAACUACCACUUCUUCAAGCAUCUUGUCAACUUUUUGCAGGGAAAAUGCUUCCAC
rnacentral:lncRNA from 1 species